ACAUGGUUCUCACUGAGCUCUUCAGUGCAUUCCUAUACUGAACAUGCCUUGCUUCCAAAAAACACACUCCAAAUUGGAAACGUUAAUAGAAAACUCUCUGUGCUUUAUUUAAACUAAAUUUUCUUCUUUUUGACAGGAAUCCAGGAGCUCCCCAUUCUGUGUACAACCUGCACAUUAUAGAACCUUUGUCAACAUUAUGGAAUAUUUCGGGAUUGUCUGCAAUUUACAGGUGCAGAGAAUGAGGCUGAGAGUUGGAGACUCAGGUAUGAUGGGAAGAAGAGAAGCGAAAAGUCGGCUGUGAUCCUCUUAACCACUAGGGGGUCCUCUUGCACAUCCGGUGAAAUGCUUUGUUUAAUUUGCAAACAUUCUACUGGUUCAGAGACCAGUAGAAAUGGACAAGUGAGGGUUUAAGGCAGAAAAGAUUGUGGUGUGUGUGUAUUUUGGGGUCCAUUGAGUGCUGCAAACAGCAGAAACAAAACAGAAAAACCUAGGCUGGGCGCGGUGGCUCACGCAUGUAAUCACAGCACUUUGGGAAGCCAAGGUGGGCGGAUCAAAAGGUCAGGAUUUUGAGACCAGCCUAGCCAAUAUGGUGAAACCUUGUCUCUACUAAAAAUACAAACAAAACAAACGAAAUAAGACUAGCUGGACGUGGUGGCAG
rnacentral:lncRNA from 13 species